CCUACGGGAGGCAGCAGUGGGGAAUAUUUGGCAAUGGGCGCAAGCCUGACCCAGCAACGCCGCGUGAAGGAAUGAGGCUCUCGGGUUGUAAACUUCUUGUGACAGGGAAGAGCAGAAGACGGUACCUGUCGAAUAAGACACGGACAACUACGUGCCAGCAGCCGCGGUCAUACGUAGGUGGCAAGCGUUGUCUGGAUUUACUGAGUGUAAAGGGCGUGUAGCCGGGCUGACAAGUCAGUUGUGAAAUCCGGGGGCUCAACCCCCGAACUGCAUUUGAAACUGUUGGUCUUGAGUAUCGGAGAGGCAGGCGGAAUUCCUAGUGUAGCGGUGAAAUGCGUAGAUAUUAGGAGGAACACCAGUGGCGAAGGCGGGCUGCUGGACGACAACUGACGGUGAGGCGCGAAGGCGUGGGGAGCAAACAGGAUUAGAUACCCGUGUAGUC
rnacentral:rRNA from 1 species